rnacentral:rRNA from 1 species
AUUGAACGCUGGCGGCAGGCCUAACACAUGCAAGUCGAGCGGAGCGGCGGACGGGUGAGUAAUGCCUGGGAAUCUGCCUGGUAGUGGGGGAUAACGUCCUGAAACGGGCGCUAAUACCGCAUACUAUCAGAUGAGCCUAGGGUGGAUUAGCUAGUUGGUGGGGUACAGGCCUGCCAAGGCGACGAUCCGUAACUGGUCUGAGAGGAUGAGCAGUCACACGGGAACUGAGACACGAUCCAGACUCCUACGGGAGGCAGCAGUGGGGAAUAUUGGACAAUGGGCGAAAGCCUGAUCCAGCCAUGCCGCGUGUGUGAAGAAGGUCUUCGGAUUGUAAAGCACUGUAAGUUGGGAGGCGUUACCAACAGAAUAAGCACCGGCUAACUUCGUGCCAGCAGCCGCGGUAAUUC